rnacentral:lncRNA from 1 species
AAGAAGAAGAAGAAGAAGAAGAAGAAGAAGAAGAAGAAGAAGAAGAAGAAGAAGCCACCAGAGGGAGUUUAACAUCUUGAAGAUGCUGAACUCUUCUUGGCCAGGGGACCUCAGCUGCCAUAACACAUGUCUCUCUGGAGCCAAGUCCCUCUCACCAAGGUGACUGGACCUGGCUUUGGCAUGUCUGUUCUUACUACGGUGAGGGUGAAGAAGUGGUCAACAGCAGCACCUGCUCCACACAGCAUCUGGAUAGAGGUGGCUGUGACUAUCACAGGAGCUGUUGGAUUUUGUGCUCUCAAGCAGUCAUUUCUCAACACCUAUUCAUGGAAUGGAGGUACCAGAAGCUGUUCGGGGGUCCUGAUUCCAUCCACAGGCCUCAGGUUGAGCUCCCACUCUGUGGAAAGGCAUUCAGCCAAGGCGAUGGACUCUCUCAGAUGUUACCUGACUGUCUACGUCCAGAAGGGACUUGAAUGAGGAUUGGGUACCCAUAAUUUGCUACUUACUGUCCUUGGCCACCCAGAAGGGUUACCUGAUAAGAGUUUAUGGAACCAAAACCCAUCAGAUCUUGAGGGAAAACAAAGCAAAG